AUUUCCUUCAACUUGCUUUUGUCACAGUUUUGGUUUAAAGCAGAAAUAACCCUCCUGCUAUUCUGUAGAAAUAUCAAAACCUUAUUGAUUGACAAUAUGCAAAAAUCUCAGUUCGUAAAACCAUCUGAAUACUGCGGCGUUGCCCCAAGGUGGUGGUCAGCGUCGAUAAGGGUGGAAGCCCUGUACGUUGUGAUUCUGCCCUCUGCCAAACGCAGUGGCGGCAGGCUGGGGGGCGGCGGCGGGUUGUGCCGUCGGAGCCCCGUACGUGGCCGUCGGCUGGUUGGGGUCUGCGAAGCUGUGGCCAAAGGCUGUCAGGUCCUGCCCGUACCCUGAGGAGGACGACAGAGGGGAUAACAGAAAGGACAGGGGCCACAGAGAGACAAGGAUAUUAAUGUCAGGUUCACCAGAAGAUCUUAGGGAGAAGCUUUAACUGCUUUAAAAGGAUCUGAGAUGUGUUUGGGAGAAAGUGCUGUAAAAAAUGAACACCACCACCAAACAACUAAAAUGGACCAAGAAAUAAAAUG